GACAGAGGGUGCAAACGUUGUUCGGAAUUACUGGGCGUAAAGCGCGUGUAGGCGGCUAUGUAAGUCGGGCGUGAAAUCCCACGGCUCAACCGUGGAAGUGCACCCGAAACUGCGUAGCUAGAGUCCUGGAGAGGAAGGUGGAAUGCUUGGUGUAGAGGUGAAAUUCGUAGAUAUCAAGCGGAACACCGGUGGCGAAGGCGGGUCCU
rnacentral:rRNA from 1 species